rnacentral:rRNA from 1 species
UUAGGAAUUUUGCGCAAUGGACGAAAGUCUGUCGCAGCGACAUCGCGUGGAGGAUGAAGGCCUUCGGGUUGUAAACUCCUUUUUGGCAGUCAUGAAGGCCGCCAGAAUAAGCAACUACUAACUAUGUGCCAGCAGUCGCGGUAAUACAUAGGUUGCAAGCGUUACCCGGAUUUAUUGGGCGUAAAGGGUCUGUAGGUGGUUUCUCAAGUCCUGUUUUAAAGACUCCGGCUUAACCGGAGAAAGGGGCAGGAUACUGAAAAACUCGAGUUAUAUCGGGGUUACUGGAAUUUAUAGUGUAGGGGUAAAAUCCGUGGAUACUAUAAAGAACACCAAGAGCGAAGGCGGGUAACCAGGUAUACACUGACACUCAUAGACGAAAGCUAGGGUAGCCAAUCAG